rnacentral:rRNA from 1 species
ACAAGGUUUCUGUAGGUGAACCUGCGGAAGGAUCAUUAAUGAAAUGAAACAUGUGAAGGGUUGUAGCUGGCCUCUGUCUUUGGAGGCAUGUGCACGCCUGGAUCAUUUGUCCCCUUUACACACCUGUGCACAACAUGUAGCUUGGGAUGAUCACGGAGGCUGUCUUUUUGGCAGUGCCGAAUGCCCUUGCUAUGAUCUUUUGAUACACACCUUUAUAACGUUCAUGUUGAUGAGACUUUUUUGAAUGGAAAUACAACUUUCAGCAACGGAUCUCUUGGCUCUCGCAUCGAUGAAGAACGCAGCGAAAUGCGAUAAGUAAUGUGAAUUGCAGAAUUCAGUGAAUCAUCGAAUCUUUGAACGCACCUUGCACUCCUUGGUAUUCCGAGGAGUAUGCCUGUUUGAGUGUCAUGAAGUUCUCAACUGCCUUGGCCUUUUGUGCCAAAGUGAAGUUGGAUUUGGAGGUUUUGUUGCUGGCAUGGAGUGUCUGAUGAUGCUUGCUUGUUGGCUCCUCCUAAAAGCAUGCAGAGCUUGUCAAAGUGGCGUCGAUGUGAUAAUUAUCUACGUUGUCGUCAAAGUGUGCAGAUCUGCUGUGGGGUGUGACCUUUUGAACCAUUUGACCUCAAAUCAGGUAGGACUACCCGCUGAACUUAAGCAUAUCA